ensembl:lncRNA
UUUUUUUAUUUUAUGUAUGUAUGUAUGUAUGUAUGUAUUAUUUAUUAUUAUUAUUUUUUGAGAUGGAGUCUCACUCUGUCACCCAGGCUGGGGUGCACUGGUGCAAUCUCGGCUCACUGCAAGCUCCGCUUCCUGGGUUCAUGCCAUUCUCCUCCCUCGGCCUCCUGAGUAGCUGGGACUACAGGCACAUGCCACCACUCCUGGCUAAUUUUUAGAGACAGUGUCUCACCAUGUUAGCCAGGAUGGUCUCGAUCUCCUGACCUCAUGAUCCGCCAGCCUCAGCCUCCCAAAGUGCUGGGAUAACAGGUGUGAGUCACUAUGCCUGGCCUAGAAUUCUUACAGUUUGAGGUCUUAUAUUUAAAUCUUUAACCUACCUUCAGUUAAUUUUUGUAUAUGGUAAAAGGUAUGGGUCCAGUUUCAUUGUUUUCCAUAUGACUAGCCAGGUAUUCCAACACUAUUUAUUUCAUAAGGAGUCCUUUCCCCAUUGUUUGUUUUUGUCAACUAUGUCAAAGAUCAGAUGGCUGUAGGUGUGUGGCUUUAUUUCUAUCAGUUUCAUUGUUCUAUGUGCCUAUUUUUAUUCCAGUAACAUGCUGUUUGGGUUACUGUGGCUUUUAGCAUAGUUUGAAGUCAGGUAAUGUGAUGCCUCCAUUACCCCAGCUUUGCUUUGUUUUUGUUUUUGUUGUUUGUUGUUUGUUUGUUUUGCCUAGGAUUGCUUUGGCUUUUUGGUUCCAUAUGAAUCAGAAUAGUUUUUUCUAAGUCUGUGAAAAAUUACAUUGGUGGAUGAUAAGAAUAGCACUGAAUCUGUAAGUUACUUUAGGCAGUGUGGCUAUCUUAAUGACACUGGUCCUUCCAAUCCAUGAGCAUGGAAUGUUUUUUCAUUUGUGUGUGUCAUUUAUAAUUUCUUUCAACAGUAUUUUAUAGUUCUCCUUACGGAGAUCUUGCACCUCCUUGGUUAGAUGUAUCCCUAAGCAUAUUUAUAGCUAUUGUAAAUGGGAUUGUGUUCUUGAUUUGGCUCUCAGCCUGAAAGUUAUUGGUGUUUAAAAAUGCUACUGAUUUUUGUACAUUGAUUUUGUCUCCUAAAACUUUACUGUAGUUAUUUUCCAGUUUCAGGAGCCCUUUAGCGGAGUCUUUGGGGUUCUUUAAGUAUAGAGUCAUAUUGUCAGCAAAGAGAGUUUGACUUUUUCUUUGCCUAUUUAGAAGCCUUUUAUUUAUUUCUCUUGCUUGAUCACUCUGGAUAGGACUUCUAGUACUAUGUUGAAUAUGAAUGGUGAGAGUGGGCGUCCUUAUCUUGUUCCAGUUCUCAAGGGGAAUGCUUCCAGCUUUUGCCCAUCCAAUAUGAAGUGCACUGUGGGAUUUUCAUAAAUGCCUCUUAUUAUUUUGAGGUAUGUUCCUUUGAUGCCUGGUUUCUUGAGAGUUUUUAUCAUGAAAGAAUAUUGGAUUUUAUCAAAGGCUGUCUCUUUACCUAUUGAGAUGAUCAUAUGGUUUUGGUUUUUAAUUCUGUUUAUGUGGUAAAUCGUGUUUAAUGAUUUGUAUAUGUCGAACCAACCUUGCAUCCCAGCAAUAAAGCCUACCUGAUCAUGGUCAAUUAACUUUUUGGUGUGCAGUUGGAUUCAGUUUGCUAGUAUUUUGUAGAGGACUAUUGUGUCUAUGUUCAUCAGGAUAUAGGCCUGUAGUUUUCUCUAUUUGUUGCAUCUUUGCCAGAUUUUGUUACCAGGGUGAUGCUGGCUUAGUAGAAUGAGUUAGGAAGGAAUCUCUCCUCCUUGAUUUUUUUGGAAUAGUUUCAGUGUAAUUAGUACGCACUCUUCUUUGUACAUCUGGUAGAAUUUGUCUUGACUGUGGCUGGUCUGGGGCUUUUUGUUGGUUGGUAAGUGUUUUAUUACUGAUUCAAUUUCAGAACUUG